rnacentral:rRNA from 1 species
GGUGUUUACUGUCGAACUGAACACUCUACCGUUUACUGUCUGGUGGUGCUCUUCACCGAGUGUCACCAGUGGUCGGUACGUUUACUUUGAAAAAAUUAGAGUGCUCAAAGCGGUUUUUACACGACCGAUACUGUUGCAUGGAUAUGAAAUAGACUUUGGUUCUAUUUUGUGGUCUCGGACCAAGGUAAUGAUAGAGGGACAGACGGGGGCAUUAGUAUUGCGACGCUAGAGGUGAAAUUCUUGGACCGUCGCAAGACUAACUAAAGCGAAAGCAUUUGCCAAGAAUGUUUUCAUUAAUCAAGAACGAAAGUAGAGGUUCGAAGGCGAUCAGAUACCGCCCUAGUUCUAACCAUAAACGAUGCCAACCAGCAAUCAGCCUGUGUUCUCUUGAUGACACGGCUGGCGGCUUCCGGGAAACCAAAGUCUUUCGGUUCCAGGGGAAGUAUGGUUGCAAAGCUGAAACUUAAAGGAAUUGACGGAAGGGCACCACCAGGAGUGGAGCCUGCGGCUUAAUUUGACUCAACACGGGGAAACUCACCCGGCCCGGACACUGUGAGGAUUGACAGGUUGAAGCCCUUUCUUGAUUCAGUGGGUGGUGGUGCAUGGCCGUUCUUAGUUGGUGGAGUGAUUUGUCUGGUUAAUUCCGAUAACGAACCAGACUCUAGCCUACUAAUUAGACCGUGGCGUCCUCGUGCCGCCACGGCGCUUCCUAGAGGGACAGACGG